GGGUUGUGAGGUUAAGCGACUAAGCGUACACGGUGGAUGCCCUGGCAGUCAGAGGCGAUGAAGGACGUGCUAAUCUGCGAUAAGCGUCGGUAAGGUGAUAUGAACCGUUAUAACCGGCGAUUUCCGAAUGGGGAAACCCAGUGUGUUUCGACACACUAUCAUUAACUGAAUCCAUAGGUUAAUGAGGCGAACCGGGGGAACUGAAACAUCUAAGUACCCCGAGGAAAAGAAAUCAACCGAGAUUCCCCCAGUAGCGGCGAGCGAACGGGGAGCAGCCCAGAGCCUGAAUCAGUGUGUGUGUUAGUGGAAGCGUCUGGAAAGGCGCGCGAUACAGGGUGACAGCCCCGUACACAAAAAUGCACAUGCUGUGAGCUCGAUGAGUAGGGCGGGACACGUGGUAUCCUGUCUGAAUAUGGGGGGACCAUCCUCCAAGGCUAAAUACUCCUGACUGACCGAUAGUGAACCAGUACCGUGAGGGAAAGGCGAAAAGAACCCCGGCGAGGGGAGUGAAAAAGAACCUGAAACCGUGUACGUACAAGCAGUGGGAGCACGCUUAGGCGUGUGACUGCGUACCUUUUGUAUAAUGGGUCAGCGACUUAUAUUCUGUAGCAAGGUUAACCGAAUAGGGGAGCCGAAGGGAAACCGAGUCUUAACUGGGCGUUAAGUUGCAGGGUAUAGACCCGAAACCCGGUGAUCUAGCCAUGGGCAGGUUGAAGGUUGGGUAACACUAACUGGAGGACCGAACCGACUAAUGUUGAAAAAUUAGCGGAUGACUUGUGGCUGGGGGUGAAAGGCCAAUCAAACCGGGAGAUAGCUGGUUCUCCCCGAAAGCUAUUUAGGUAGCGCCUCGUGAAUUCAUCUCCGGGGGUAGAGCACUGUUUCGGCAAGGGGGUCAUCCCGACUUACCAACCCGAUGCAAACUGCGAAUACCGGAGAAUGUUAUCACGGGAGACACACGGCGGGUGCUAACGUCCGUCGUGAAGAGGGAAACAACCCAGACCGCCAGCUAAGGUCCCAAAGUCAUGGUUAAGUGGGAAACGAUGUGGGAAGGCCCAGACAGCCAGGAUGUUGGCUUAGAAGCAGCCAUCAUUUAAAGAAAGCGUAAUAGCUCACUGGUCGAGUCGGCCUGCGCGGAAGAUGUAACGGGGCUAAACCAUGCACCGAAGCUGCGGCAGCGACGCUUAUGCGUUGUUGGGUAGGGGAGCGUUCUGUAAGCCUGCGAAGGUGUGCUGUGAGGCAUGCUGGAGGUAUCAGAAGUGCGAAUGCUGACAUAAGUAACGAUAAAGCGGGUGAAAAGCCCGCUCGCCGGAAGACCAAGGGUUCCUGUCCAACGUUAAUCGGGGCAGGGUGAGUCGACCCCUAAGGCGAGGCCGAAAGGCGUAGUCGAUGGGAAACAGGUUAAUAUUCCUGUACUUGGUGUUACUGCGAAGGGGGGACGGAGAAGGCUAUGUUGGCCGGGCGACGGUUGUCCCGGUUUAAGCGUGUAGGCUGGUUUUCCAGGCAAAUCCGGAAAAUCAAGGCUGAGGCGUGAUGACGAGGCACUACGGUGCUGAAGCAACAAAUGCCCUGCUUCCAGGAAAAGCCUCUAAGCAUCAGGUAACAUCAAAUCGUACCCCAAACCGACACAGGUGGUCAGGUAGAGAAUACCAAGGCGCUUGAGAGAACUCGGGUGAAGGAACUAGGCAAAAUGGUGCCGUAACUUCGGGAGAAGGCACGCUGAUAUGUAGGUGAAGCGACUUGCUCGUGGAGCUGAAAUCAGUCGAAGAUACCAGCUGGCUGCAACUGUUUAUUAAAAACACAGCACUGUGCAAACACGAAAGUGGACGUAUACGGUGUGACGCCUGCCCGGUGCCGGAAGGUUAAUUGAUGGGGUCAGCGCAAGCGAAGCUCUUGAUCGAAGCCCCGGUAAACGGCGGCCGUAACUAUAACGGUCCUAAGGUAGCGAAAUUCCUUGUCGGGUAAGUUCCGACCUGCACGAAUGGCGUAAUGAUGGCCAGGCUGUCUCCACCCGAGACUCAGUGAAAUUGAACUCGCUGUGAAGAUGCAGUGUACCCGCGGCAAGACGGAAAGACCCCGUGAACCUUUACUAUAGCUUGACACUGAACAUUGAGCCUUGAUGUGUAGGAUAGGUGGGAGGCUUUGAAGUGUGGACGCCAGUCUGCAUGGAGCCGACCUUGAAAUACCACCCUUUAAUGUUUGAUGUUCUAACGUUGACCCGUAAUCCGGGUUGCGGACAGUGUCUGGUGGGUAGUUUGACUGGGGCGGUCUCCUCCUAAAGAGUAACGGAGGAGCACGAAGGUUGGCUAAUCCUGGUCGGACAUCAGGAGGUUAGUGCAAUGGCAUAAGCCAGCUUGACUGCGAGCGUGACGGCGCGAGCAGGUGCGAAAGCAGGUCAUAGUGAUCCGGUGGUUCUGAAUGGAAGGGCCAUCGCUCAACGGAUAAAAGGUACUCCGGGGAUAACAGGCUGAUACCGCCCAAGAGUUCAUAUCGACGGCGGUGUUUGGCACCUCGAUGUCGGCUCAUCACAUCCUGGGGCUGAAGUAGGUCCCAAGGGUAUGGCUGUUCGCCAUUUAAAGUGGUACGCGAGCUGGGUUUAGAACGUCGUGAGACAGUUCGGUCCCUAUCUGCCGUGGGCGCUGGAGAACUGAGGGGGGCUGCUCCUAGUACGAGAGGACCGGAGUGGACGCAUCACUGGUGUUCGGGUUGUCAUGCCAAUGGCACUGCCCGGUAGCUAAAUGCGGAAGAGAUAAGUGCUGAAAGCAUCUAAGCACGAAACUUGCCCCGAGAUGAGUUCUCCCUGACCCUUUAAGGGUCCUGAAGGAACGUUGAAGACGACGACGUUGAUAGGCCGGGUGUGUAAGCGCAGCGAUGCGUUGAGCUAACCGGUACUAAUGAACCGUGAGGCUUAACCUUACAACGCCGAAGCUGUU
rnacentral:rRNA from 1 species